GAUGAACGCUGACAGAAUGCUUAACACAUGCAAGUCGAUGGGGAAGUGGUGCUUGCACCAUGGCAACCAUGGCGGACGGGUGAGUAACGCGUAAGGGACUUACCUGCAGGACUGGGAUAACAGGGGGAAACUCCUGACAAGACCGGAUAAUGUCAUGGAGCUGCAUGGCUUUAUGAUGAAAGGAGACGCCUGCGGAGAGCCUUGCGUCCUAUUAGCUAGUUGGUGAGGUAAGGGCUCACCAAGGCGAAGAUAGGUAGCCGGCCUGAGAGGGUGGACGGCCACAAGGGGACUGAGAUACGGCCCUUACUCCUACGGGAGGCAGCAGUGGGGAAUAUUGGACAAUGGGGGCAACCCUGAUCCAGCAAUUCUGUGUGCACGAAGAAGGUUUUCGGAUUGUAAAGUGCUUUCAGCAGGGAAGAAGGAAGUGAC
rnacentral:rRNA from 1 species